rnacentral:hammerhead_ribozyme from 1 species
AUCCAGCUGAAGAGUCCCAGAUAGGACGAAACGCGCACCAUGGAU